AAGGUCUUUAGUGGUCCGCCCCUUCGGGGAGCGGGUCACUGGCCUCCUAUGUUCCUAACGGUCCUCAUCCGCGAGGGUGGGGAAUCAACCGCUAGGAUCGUUUACUUUGAGGAAAUUAGAGUGUUCAAAGCAGGCGUAACUCGCCUCCGAAUACGUUAGCAUGGGAUAAUGGAAUACGACUUCGGUCUUGUUUCGUUGGUUUCGCUUGGCUGAAGUAAUGAUUGAUAGGGACAGUUGGGGGCAUUAGUAUUUAGUUGUCAGAGGUGAAAUUCUAGGAUUUACUAAAGACUGACCAAUGCGAAAGCAUUUGCCAAGGAUGUUUUCAUUAAUCAAGAACGAAAGUAGGGGGAUCGAAGACGAUCAGAUACCGUCGUAGUCUCUACCGUAAACUAUGCCGACCAGGGAUCCGGAGAGUUUGCAUGGAUGACUCCCCGGGCACCUUGUGAGAAAUCAUAAGUGUUUGGGUUUUGGGGGGAGUAUGGUCGCAAGGCUGAAACUUAAAGGAAUUGACGGAAGGGCACCACCAGGAGUGGAACCUGCGGCUUAAUUUGACUCAACACGGGGAAACUUACGAGGUCAGGACACUGUGAGGAUUGACAGAUUGAAAGCUCUUUCUUGAUUCAGUGGGUGGUGGUGCAUGGCCGUUCUUAGUUGGUGGAGUGAUUUGUCUGGUUAAUUCCGUUAACGAACGAGACCUUAACCUG
rnacentral:rRNA from 1 species